UACAGAGGGGGCAAGCGUUGUUCGGAAUUAUUGGGCGUAAAGGGCGCGUAGGCGGCCUGUUAAGUCGAAUGUGAAAUCCCCGGGCUCAACCCUAGAACUGCGUCCGAUACUGGCAGGCUUGAAUUCGGGAGAGGGAUGUGGAAUUCCAGGUGUAGCGGUGAAAUGCGUAGAUAUCUGGAGGAACACCGGUGGCGAAGGCGACAUCCUGGACCGAUAUUGACGCUGAUGCGCGAAAGCCAGGGGAGCAAACGGG
rnacentral:rRNA from 1 species